UUUCCGUAGGUGAACCUGCGGAAGGAUCAUUACUGAGUGAGGGCCCCUCGGGGUCCAACUUCCCACCCGUGUUUAACGAACCUUGUUGCUUCGGCGGGCCCGCCUCACGGCCGCCGGGGGGCAUCUUCCCCCGGGCCCGCGCCCGCCGAAGCCACCUGUGAACGCUGUCUGAAGUAUGCAGUCUGAGACAAUUAUUAAAUUAAUUAAAACUUUCAACAACGGAUCUCUUGGUUCCG
rnacentral:misc_RNA from 1 species